rnacentral:rRNA from 1 species
CCCUUAGAUGUCCGGGGCUGCACGCGCGCUACACUGAAGGAAUCAGCGUGCUAAAACCAUUGUCGAAAGGCAUUGGUAAACCCAUUAAAAUCCUACGUGAUUGGGAUCGGGAAUUGCAAUUAUUUCCCUUGAACGACGAAUUCCCAGUAAGUGUGGGUCAUAAGCUCGCGUUGAUUACGUCCCUGCCCUUUGUACACACCGCCCGUCGCUGCCCGGGACUGAGCCGUUUCGAGAAAAGCGGGGACUGCUGCUGUCGGGGCUUUCGGGCCUUGGCUUCGGUGGAAACCGCUUUAAUCGCAGUGGCUUGAACCGGGCAAAAGUCGUAACA